AUAUUGACCAGCUGACUAGAAUCUUUGAUUUUUCCAGGGUCUUAUUAGUGCUUUGUUCCUUCAGGUGUGGUCCUUGGACCAGCAACAUCAGUAUCUAUAUCACCUGAGAGCUUGUUAAACAUUCAGAAAUUGGGAGCCCACGCAACAUCUACAGAAUCAGAAUCUACAUUUCUACAAGAUACUCUGGAAUUCAUACCUAAAUUUUGUGGUUUGAGAAGUCCUGUAGUGCAGGCUACAUCACCAGGACUUGAAGGACAGCAGCACAUCUUUGUUUUCAGAUGCUUAGUGAACAGGACACUUC
rnacentral:lncRNA from 10 species